rnacentral:sRNA from 1 species
GGCCAGACACCCUCCGAAUAUGCCAGGAUUACGAGGUCUGCGAGCAAGCGUAGCGUGCAGCAUCGUGGAGAUGGACUACCUGCCGAAGAAGCAGGGGGCCGGGCUUGGAAUGAGGAGGCAUUGAAUGAGCUUGUGGCGAAGAGUGAGUGGGAGGAAUAUGACGAUGUCAAGUCGCUGACGGGUGAGGAGAAGGAGUUGGGGAAUAGGGCAAUGAUCAAGCUUGAUGAGUUUGCGGAUAGAGAAUGGCCUAGAAACGCGAGCCCGAUGACGGCGCACGGAACCUCGCCGGCUGAUAGUAGUGUUCCACCGCGCGGCUCAUCUAGACAGGCGCAAGAACCUCCUCUCGGACAGACGGGGCAAUCCUCAGUGGGACAACAUGAUCCAAAUCGCCAGGGCUCCGACCCAUUGUCCAGAAACCCUGGCAAGGCGCCAAAUAACAGUCAACAGGA